CGCCCCUCUCACCAUCGAAGAAUCGCUUUUUAACCUUUUUUAUUUUCUUUUGGCACGAAAUAUAUAAAUUCAAAGCCAUAUUUUCGUGGUUGCAAAUGGCGCCAGCUACUAGCUUCACCCUCUGCUCUUUUCAAGUUUCUUGCUUGGAGUUUCUCUUCAUCUUGACCGCAUGUGGUUGGAAAAAUUUGCUCCCUUUGCAACAAAAGAGUCUAUCUUGAACAAAAGACGAGCUUUGAUCAACUUAUUUUUCUUUCUCCCAAAUAGGGAAAAAAAGAAAAGAAAAGAGAAAUAUGUUUCCAAGCUCAGAGGAAAGUUGUAGCAAGGUUUAUGGUGCAGCUUCAAAACCUUUCUUGGAAUGUAACCAGUCUUCUUAAAAGUGUCCUGCUAUUAUGUGUUCUACUUUACAGGGAGAGGAUCUAUCUAGUUUGACCUAUCAUGGGGAAAACGACCCCAAGCCAAAUGGAACUGGAUGCUGUAACUUUAAUUAUGAAGAUAUCGGGAAGGAUACUGGGGCUUGAUUGAACAGGAGGGAGACUGUUUGUUUAGUAUUCAUGGGCAAGCACCUAGCCGACAAACUAAAGGGGUGAGUUAGUGGAGGAUCACAUCUUCCUUUUUCAAAGGUUUAGAGGGAUGUCUGGAUAAACUAUUCAUUCAAUUACCUGUAUCAUGGCUGAACAAGGUUUUGAGUUAAAUGAAAAACCACCACAGCCAGAACAGGAUGAUGUUAACACAAACCAAACCGAAGUG